GAUGCUGCCAGAGCUUACGAUUGUGUGGCUUUUUAAGCUGAGAGGAAGAAAAGCCAUCCUUAAGUUUCCGUUCGAUGCCGGAAAUUUAAUACCGCAGGUGACGAUUGGCCGGAAGAGGAGAAUUGAUCAGUGAUGCACUUAGUUGAGUGGGUUUUUGUUUUAAAUAAACUAAAUCAAUUUGUCGGUUUAUUUUAAGUAAACCUAAUUGAUUGUGGUC
rnacentral:misc_RNA from 1 species